AUGUAGAGAACAAAUGGGAGAUUGUUAGGAUGUGUCCUCUACACUAGCCGGUUAACAGUAAUCGGGGUAGGGUUAAUCCUAACCGUCUAACCGCGCCCCUGAUCGGGGGGGCUAUCCUAACCGUUGGUUGCAGCCCCCGGUCACACGACGCCAUAUAAAUAGAUUAAGGGGGCCGACGGGUUUAGCUAACGCUAAUCGCUCGACCACAAACCCUAAUCGACACUUUGAGAGGAAUCGAUCCCCUAGGCGCUCGGAGUGACUGGAAUCGCUGUAACUAUGUCUCAGAUCCCCGUUAUCUCAUCGGGAUCUGAGGUUCCCCCUGCAGGCAACAUUGGAGGAGCUGAUCCACCGCCGAUCAACGACGGGAACCAAUCUCCUCGACACCAGCAGGGAGAUCGACAAGGAGGAGGCGGGUCUUCGCUGCAAGACGCCGCCGCAAUGAUGGCUAGGAACAACAAUGACGAAUGACGACGCACAUUCGGCAGCAAACAAGGUCCACUGCCAAACUCCAGCAGUUGCAUCUCCCCCCAUCUUUUAGGAAAUAAAACGUUAUGAAAAAGGAAAUGUCGGCCCAAGCAAAGUGAAAGUGGCGGUGAUUGGGCCUGAACUAAAUCCACGCUCUUAACAGCCCACAGAUGGACCGUGAACACUGCUAAGUAUAUUUUCCAAGCCCAUUGAGAAACACAGCACGCACUAUCGGCAGGAGGGGCGAUCAUUUCUUCUGAAUUCUUUAUUUCAUUUCAUUUCAUUUCAUGGUGGCAGCAGUAUACAAACUGAAAUGAUGAGCCGACCUGAAAAAGUGAGCUCUUGCAUGUAUCAUGUAUGCGGGGGUGCAUCCGUCCACGUCUGAAGUAGUAGUAGUAAAUAAAGGUGUAUUUGAUUGAGAAA